AACAGGAUUAGAUACCCUGGUAGUCCACGCCCUAAACGAUGUCAACUGGUUGUUGGGAGGGUUUCUUCUCAGUAACGUAGCUAACGCGUGAAGUUGACCGCCUGGGGAGUACGGCCGCAAGGUUGAAACUCAAAGGAAUUGACGGGGACCCGCACAAGCGGUGGAUGAUGUGGUUUAAUUCGAUGCAACGCGAAAAACCUUACCUACCCUUGACAUGCCAGGAAUCCUGAAGAGAUUUGGGAGUGCUCGAAAGAGAACCUGGACACAGGUGCUGCAUGGCCGUCGUCAGCUCGUGUCGUGAGAUGUUGGGUUAAGUCCCGCAACGAGCGCAACCCUUGUCAUUAGUUGCUACGAAAGGGCACUCUAAUGAGACUGCCGGUGACAAACCGGAGGAAGGUGGGGAUGACGUCAGGUCAUCAUGGCCCUUAUGGGUAGGGCUACACACGUCAUACAAUGGCCGGGACAGAGGGCUGCCAACCCGCGAGGGGGAGCUAAUCCCAGAAACCCGGUCGUAGUCCGGAUCGUAGUCUGCAACUCGACUGCGUGAAGUCGGAAUCGCUAGUAAUCGCGGAUCAGCUUGCCGCGGUGAAUACGUUCCCGGGUCUUGUAAACACCGCCCGUCACACCAUGGGAGCGGGUUCUGCCAGAAGUAGUUAGCCUAACCGCAAGGAGGGCGAUUACCACGGCAGGGUUCGUGACUGGGGUGAAGUCGUAACAAGGUAACC
rnacentral:rRNA from 1 species